CGCUCUGUCUCCCAGGCUGGAAUGCAGUGGUACAAUCUUGGUUCACUGCAGCCUCAACCUUUCAGGCUCAAGUGAUCUUCCCACCUUGGCCUCCCGAGUAGCUAGGACUACAGGCAUGCGCCACCAUGCCCGGCUAAUUUUCAUUUUUUGUAGAGACGGGGUCUUGCUACAUGGCCCAGGCUGGUCUCAAACUCCCAACCUCAAGCGAUCCUCGCCUCAGCCUCCCAAAGUGCUGGGAUUACAGGUGUGAGCUACCAUGCCUGGCCUCAACUUCUAACACACUAACAGCCGGCAGACAUAAUCCACACAGACACAGGCUCCUGGGGCUAUUGGAUCAUUCUGGAUGAUGUAAAGGGUCCUGAAAUCCGUUUGAGAACCCCUGACCUGGAAAGACUCCAACACAGCGCACGUAAGGAUCUGUUCCAGCACAUUCCACAGCAGCAUUCUUCCUAGCCAGAAAACCCAGACACACCAACUGAGGCUGGAUUAAAGUAUGCAAUCUAAUUGACCAACUAUGUCCACGGGGACAAUUCUGGCCUGCACCUCUUUUGUUUUGGUUUUGUUUUUUGUUUUGCUUUUUUUUUGAGACGGAGUCUUGCUCUGUCGCCCAGGCUGGAGUGCAGUGGUGGGAUCUCAGCUCACUGCAACCUCCCACCUCCCAGGUUCAAGCGAUUCUCCUGCCUCAGCCUCCUAAGUGGAACUACAGACAUGCGCCACCACGUCUGGCUAAUUUUUGUAUUUUUAGUAGAGACGGGGUUUCACCAUGUUGGCACGCUGUUCUAGAACUCCUGACCUCAGGUGAUCCGCCUGCCUUGGCCUCCCAAAGCACCGGGAUUACAAUCAUGAGCCACUGGGCCCCGCCAUACCUGUUUUUAUAAAUCAAGUUUUAUUGGAACAAAGCCACGCCCACCGGUUUACAGAUUGUCUACAGCUGCUUCGGGGCCACAACAGCAGUGGUGAGUCACCCUAACAGAGGCCGCGCCCUCUACCAGGGAGCCAUCCUGGGGGAGGGAUGCCGCAGUGGGUGGGAGCUGGUGGUGGGGACCCUCCCUCCCGCAGACAGAAGGGCAGGUCUCUGCAAGGGGGCCGUCCAGUGGGGACACCUGAGGCAUCACUGUGACAAGUGACUCUUGCAAGGCCAUUCCUGGGCCACCAUUUCAACUGAGGCAUCAGACUGACCUUAAUCCUGCCUUUGAGGCAUGGAAGUCUCUGGGAAUAUUUGUGGUUGUCAUGACUGGUAGGGCAGGAUGCUCUGGCAUGGAGUGGGUGGAGGCCAGGGACGCUGCUCCGCACCCUGCAGUGCCCAGGACGGUCCCAGCCAGAGGAUGACCUGGCCCCAAACAUCCACAGUGCAGAGCGGGACAGGCCCUGUGCUAAGAGAUUGAUUUCGCUUUCAUUGUGAGCCUGGCACAGGGCUCACUCCGCCCUUCAAAUCCACAACCUCAUUGAAUUCGCACUGCGCUGCAGCGUGGUGGGUAUUAGCCCUAUCUAAAAUAAGAUGAUGUGGGAGCUGGCGAGUCGCGGGCCAGGGAUGCUGAAAAGAUUAUGUACAGUGCAGAGCGUUGUACCCGAGCAGGUUAAAGGUGCCGCAAAAGACAGCUAUUGUUAUUUUGAUGUGCAGCCAAAAAAAAAAAAAAGAUUGAGGGGUGGGGGCCGCAGAUGCCUCUCCCGUUGCCUAGGCUGGGCCGUCUGCCCAAAGUCACUGCCCUCGAUCAGCUCCCUGCGUUCCCGCCCAUCAAGUGACAUCACUGUCACCCUAUUCAGCCCAAGUGAGACCACCACGAGAUCCUCCAUAUUCCGAGACAGACCCAACUCUGUUCUGCUCUGGGGUCUCCA
rnacentral:lncRNA from 1 species